UGACUCUAAUUGCAAAAACUCACGCAACAACAACGACGCACCGCAAUGACCAUACAUACCUUCAUUAUAGUUGCUAGACAUGAACUCCAAAACUUCUAAAGUAAUUUAUCAGACUAUUUAUCCAUUAUGGAUUACUGAUUUUAAUGAGAUGAUUCGCUAUGGGUAAGCCUUUUGUCUUCCUGACCUUUAACUGACUUCAAAGCUAAUUUACCAUUAACAUUACACUAGCAUGAUCCAUGAUAAAUCUACAAGCAAUCUACAAUUUAUGAAUUGAAAUACUACUAUAAAGUGACUACCCUUUUAACAUGAUACUUACCCAGCUCCAAUACCACAGGUGACCACAAAGAUCAUAUGAACCUUUGAAUUUAUUCAACAGCCCAAUUAAACAAACCCAUUGAACUGACUACAUUUUAAGUUAUUCCAAGGAUCCAAUGCCACAAUUCAACACUAUACCACAUUUAACAGAUAACCCAUUUUAAUUAUACACUUAAUCAACAUCUAUAUAAAAGGAAAACAGAACAAUAAACCCCUAGAACAUUUCAUUUCAAACUUCAACAAGCUUACAUCAAUAUGGUUCAGGGUAGUGUACCUGGGAAUACAAUGAAAAGAGGAGAGGAAAAGAAUAAGCAGCAACACAUUCAACAGUGACGAGAAAAAAACCAGAACACAGUCCAGGAAUGAGCAAACUCAACCAAAAUAAGCCUCUAUAUACGUGAAAUCUACCCAAGAGCUUGAAAAACCCAGCAGCAAACAGCAAAACAAACCCAAGCAAACUGAUAACCCAGAAAUUGUUUGAACUCAACUAUGCAUAACAGAGAAACUUCAGCAAUGAGAAGAGAACCAGAAAUGCAAAUUAUGAACUAGAGUAUCAAAAUAAACUUACAGCUCUAAUGAAAUAGUAUAUUUUGGUAUUUUAUGAAGAGUUUUUGUUGUUUUUGAUUUUUGUAUGUAUUUGUUUUGUAUUUUUCUGUAUAUCUGAAUGCUGAAGCUAAUUUAGGACUAGAAUGAAAGAAGAAAUCAGAUUUGUUUAUGAUAUUUUUAGCUUAAAAGCUCUGCCCCCUUUCACAAGGCAUUUAAUGCCUUUAUAUAGACAAGAAUGAGGGCAAAGGGUCAGAUUUUCCAUUUGCACCAUUAGUCGCUAGUUAUUUACAGCUUUUAACCUCAAUUUCUAACAUGUUCUUCAAGUUGCUCCCUAAGUUUUCAGAAAUGUGCACUAAGGCCCUAUUCUAUGAGCUUCUAGGAUGCUCUUUAGGCUACACAAUUCCUAGAAUACCCUCAUCUUUGUUUUAAAAAUUACUAUUCUUCAAAAUCCUACCCUUUUCUCAUGCCCAAACUGCCCCUGAAACCCCCUGAAAUUACUAACCAUACUGAUUCACUGACCCACCCUUUUGUCCCCUGUUAAAUAUUAACUAAGGUUAUCUAAAUAGUUAUGGCCAAUCUCACAAACAAGCAAUCGACCCCCAAACUGAAUUCAGAAGCACACAACAAAGAAAUAGAGAAAAUUCCUAAAUCAGUAUCCUAUUAGACAAUUGCAAAAAUUAAUUAAGCUAACAUCUAAUUAACGAUUAAGCAUAUAAACUAACAAAGAAUCAACACCAAUUCAGAAUUUAAAUAGAAGACUAAUACGAAUUAACCUAUUGAUUUUAACAAUCACAAAAAUGAACUUAGUUUUAACGUGCUCGACUGAACUAAACAAGAAAAUGAAUCACACUAAAAGAAAAGAAAAGAAGGAAACUUACGGAUUUUUACUCCAGACUCGAUUGGCCCUCAAAUUUGGCCUAAGCUAAUGAUAUAUAUUUAUUUCAUAUGAAAUAAACAUAAAACGUUAGCUUAAAACCAAAUGGACGCCGGAUUCUUCAAAAUGGCUCCAAAACAGACCCAACUUCCACGAAAUACAAAUUUGAAAUCCGUUCAAUUCCACUUGGAUUCGAGGGAUUUUGGUUAAAGAUUAAGGGUGAGGGAGGUUAGGGGAUUAUGGGGUGUGAUUUUGAACCGAUUUGGAUGAAUUUGUAUAUUGACCUAGAUUUCAAAUCAAGAUUUGAACAAUUGAGUUACGAUUCGAAGGCAAUUUGGAUGAAUUGGUAUUUUGACCUAGGUUUUCAAAUUAAUAUUCGAACAGUUGAGUUAGGAUUCAAAGGAAACAGUUGUCAUGGUUGUAAAGAGGAGGUUGAAGAGACUGGGUGGUGUUAGUUUGGUCGAGUUUGGCGGUGGCGCCGCCGGGUUUUAGGGUGAGGGAUAUGGCGGCGGCGUCUCUAGGGCUUCUUAGAGAGGGAGGGGUGAAGGAGACGAUAAGAAGUGGGGG
rnacentral:lncRNA from 1 species